AUUGAACGCUGGCGGCAUGCUUUACACAUGCAAGUCGAACGGUAACAGGCCGCAAGGUGCUGACGAGUGGCGAACGGGUGAGUAAUGCAUCGGAACGUGCCCAGUCGUGGGGGAUAACGCAGCGAAAGCUGUGCUAAUACCGCAUACGAUCUAUGGAUGAAAGCGGGGGACCGUAAGGCCUCGCGCGAUUGGAGCGGCCGAUGUCAGAUUAGGUAGUUGGUGGGGUAAAGGCCCACCAAGCCAACGAUCUGUAGCUGGUCUGAGAGGACGACCAGCCACACUGGGACUGAGACACGGCCCAGACUCCUACGGGAGGCAGCAGUGGGGAAUUUUGGACAAUGGGGGCAAGCCUGAUCCAGCAAUGCCGCGUGCAGGAAGAAGGCCUUCGGGUUGUAAACUGCUUUUGUACGGAACGAAAAGGUCUGGGUUAAUACCCUGGGCCGAUGACGGUACCGUAAGAAUAAGCACCGGCUAACUACGUGCCAGCCGCCGCAGUAAUAC
rnacentral:rRNA from 1 species